rnacentral:rRNA from 1 species
UGCGUAGGGUGCAAGCGUUGUCCGGAAUUAUUGGGCGUAAAGAGCUCGUAGGCGGUUUGUCGCGUCGAAUGUGAAAACCCGGGGCUCAACCCCGGGCCUGCAUUCGAUACGGGCAGACUAGAGUUCGGUAGGGGAGUCUGGAAUUCCUGGUGUAGCGGUGAAAUGCGCAGAUAUCAGGAGGAACACCGGUGGCGAAGGCGGGACUCUGGGCCGAUACUGACGCUGAGGAGCGAAAGCGUGGGGAGCAAACAGG